GCCGGGUGUGGUGGCGCACACCUGUAAUCCCAGCUACUUGGGAAGCUGAGGCAGGAGAAUUGCUUGAACCCAGGAGGCAGAGGUUGCAGUGAGCCGAGAUCACAUCACUGCAUUCCAGCCUGGGAGACAGAGCAAGAUUCCGUCUCAA
rnacentral:SRP_RNA from 2 species